UGGCCAGUGAGAUGGAAAGAACUGGUGCUAACAUCAGCAUGGGAGGGAAGAGGGAUACAGCAGCUGUGACCAGGCAGUUACACGUGGCUGGAAUUUAUAUACAUCGAUUACUUAUGGCUGGUGUGACACAAGGGCAGCUUUGCAAGGUGCUAUGUGAAUAGAACUCAGACCUCUUCAAUGGAAACUGAGAUGAGGAUUUCAUGCUGCUUGCAGGGAGCUUGGAAAAUAUCCUGAAGUAAUAAAGAGGAAGAAAUCGGUGAUGUAACCAGACAUCUGUAAGCUCAAAAUGCCCAGUCAAGGCUACACAGGACAGCUCUCCAGAGAUUUGAUCUGAAGAAGAAAACAGCUCUGCCCGAGAAACCUCACAGACUGAUAACUAUCAAACUUACUCUUUUUUUUAACUAAUACACUGCCUGAGGCAUUUCAGGGAGUAUCACUACAAAGCCUGUACUGCAGGGCAUGCAACACCCACUGUGAUCUAUAGGAACACGAACAAAGUUUAGUCGCAUUAAAGUUGGUGUGCAUCAUGUCCCCACUGAUUUUACACCCUGAAGGUAGUAUUUAGGACACUGCACUAUCAGGCAAAGGAAACAGCAUUAGAAACGUGUUUAAAACUUAUUGUAGGGUGGUUUGUUUCUUAAAAAGUCUUCAGUCCAAAGACUUAAUUGCCACCAAAUUACACCACACUGAAAGCCAUCUGCUGCAUGUCUUUAGGCAGCCCAACAUCUCUAGAUGUGUAUCUGACUGUUCCACUUCAAUUAUCUGCCCUUAUGUUAGGGAAUGGAGUCCUUCAAAAGCAGGAUUAGUCUCAUGUUGGGGGUAGUUUACAGUACCCACAGCAAUAAACAAGUAGCAGACAUUUUAAACUUAGGAAGUGUUAAAAGGAGAUGCAGGGAAAUGCUUGUUCUCUGCUUUCAUUUCAGGAGAAGAAAAAAAAAAUCUUCUGGGGAAUUAAGGGGGAGGGGGCAAUUCUUCCCUAGAGGUUCAAAUAUAUCUCUCAGGCAGCGCACACACACACAAAAAAAAGCUGGCAUUCUGUACCACCCAGUGCCUGCCCACUUCUAUGCUUGAUUACCCCGAUAAAUCAGAAAACCUGUUUGUUACAGGCUCUCCUUCCAUUACAGCUGUUGCUCUGGUUAACAUCUUCUGAAUCAUCCAAUUCAUCAGGAUCACAUACAUGGGGGUUUUAAUCCUUUGAUUUUUUAAGUUACUUUGUUCUGAAUUUUUCGCUUCAUUCCCUUACUGACAGAGGAACUAGAUAAAGAUAAAUAAGUCAGAGUAGCAUUGUUUCCCCCCCUCCACAUUUUAUUUUGUGAAGGGAAUAGGGAGGGGGAGCAGGGUAGCUCUCCAUUUCACAGUCUUUUAGUGGUAUCACUCAGCCUGAAAUUUGAAGAGUCUGAAGGCCAGUGCUGAACUUGUGAAGCACAGUUCACCCUACUGUGUUAUCCCAGUCAUUAAAACAUCAUCUUGGAAAAAAAAAUUAUAUUAAAUAGACAAAUAGCUUGGUGGUUAUUUUAAGCCCUCCAUCACUACAAUACCUUUCAGUAUUAAUUUCUGUUAAAGGAACAAAACCAGGAAUUGAGUUACAACUCAAGUGUAACUGCUACUUAAAUUAUCCAGAGUGUCAAAGUUGGAAAGGGAAACGGGGAACACAGUAGGUCAAAGGCUUGCUAAUGGCUAUCAAAUCAUUCACUUGCUCAAAUCAAAAUCAGACAUGAGCACACCCACCGGAAGGACACAAAAGAACAUAAUCAGCAUCCCUGGAGGUGUUUAAAAGACACAGCGAUGUGGUGCUGAGGGACAUGCUUUGGCACCAGACUUGACAGAGUUUGAUCAUGAUUGAACUCAGUAUUAAAGGUCUUUUCCAACCAAAA